AACAGGAUUAGAUACCCUGGUAGUCCACGCCCUAAACGAUGUCUACUAGUUGUUGGGAGGGUAACCUCUUAGUAACGCAGCUAACGCGUGAAGUAGACCGCCUGGGGAGUACGGUCGCAAGAUUAAAACUCAAAGGAAUUGACGGGGACCCGCACAAGCGGUGGAUGAUGUGGAUUAAUUCGAUGCAACGCGAAAAACCUUACCUACCCUUGACAUGCCACUAACGAAGCAGAGAUGCAUUAGGUGCUCGAAAGAGAAAGUGGACACAGGUGCUGCAUGGCUGUCGUCAGCUCGUGUCGUGAGAUGUUGGGUUAAGUCCCGCAACGAGCGCAACCCUUGCCAAUAGUUGCUACGAAAGGGCACUCUAUUGGGACUGCCGGUGACAAACCGGAGGAAGGCGGGGAUGACGUCAAGUCCUCAUGGCCCUUAUGGGUAGGGCUUCACACGUCAUACAAUGGUCGGUACAGAGGGUUGCCAAGCCGCGAGGUGGAGCCAAUCCCAGAAAACCGAUCGUAGUCCGGAUUGCAGUCUGCAACUCGACUGCAUGAAGUCGGAAUCGCUAGUAAUCGCGGAUCAGCAUGUCGCGGUGAAUACGUUCCCGGGUCUUGUACACACCGCCCGUCACACCAUGGGAGUGGGUUUUACCAGAAGUAGUUAGCCUAACCGCAAGGAGGGCGAUUACCACGGUAGGAUUCAUGACUGGGGGUGAAGUCGUAACAAGGUAACC
rnacentral:rRNA from 1 species